rnacentral:tRNA from 1 species
GGUAGUGAGAUAAAAUGGAAAAAAUAUUAGGUUUGGAAUCAGAAGAUCUGGAUUCAAAUCCCAGCUCUGCUA